GUGUUGUAUUUAAACGUCAACAAUUCAUGCGGAUGAACGACACACAUCACCGACAGUAGCGCCACAGGCUGAAACCCGAUCUUGUCAGAUCUCAGAAGCUCGGCGAGGCUGCGUCCAGCCAGUACUGGAAUGGGAGAGCUCCCAGGAAAAAACAGGGAGUGUUGAUGCAGCAAAGUCAGGCAAAUCCUAGAGGAAAACCUGCUCCAGACCUAAAACCGGGACAAGAAUUCACCUGCCAGCAGGAUGGUACCCCUGCAGCACAGUAUCUCUGGACAACACACUGGGAAACGGAAAUUCUGGUCCAUAGGAAGCCUCCGCCCUUGAAGUGAUAGAAGCACCUUCAGUCAGAAGAGAAUCUGAUCAUCUCGACAGAUCGAUGGAAGAGACUCAGUUGAAGUCUGCAGGGAUCUGGGCAGGACAGGAUAACCCCUGGAGCUCUCGCACACCACACCUAGCUCAACGGUGCACGGCGCAGAGCGAACAUUCUAACAAUGUCAGCAUCAGCCCAGAAGAAUGCGAUGAAACACUUGAUAAAGCCCCUGUGUGUCACAAUGGGCGCAGGGAACACAGCAGGCUGCAUGUCGUCCUGCUUCCUUCUGUACAUUUUGCAUCACGGAGCUCCGUCGCCUUGUGUACUUUCAGGGCUGCGUGUCGGCCUAUUUAGGUCACCUGCACUUGACCCACUGAGGAAUCUGGGGUAUGAGGAGACGCCUGAUCAGCAGCACAUAGCUGACAAACCUCAUCUCACGCUGUGAUCAGAAUGCAGGAAUAGUUACACGUGAGAUUUAACCCAUCUAACCAGUGCGGUAGUUAAUAGGUCAUUGACUAAAUCAGAAUGAGAAAAGAUCUCAUCCAGAUGUUUAUUGAAAGACGCCAGGGCGCCAGCUUCAGGAACAUGGCGGCUGAGAAGCUUGUUCCAGACUCCCACCGCACUUUGUGUCAAUAAGUGCCUCCUGUUCUUAGUUUUAAAAGCACUUCCACGCAGUUUCCCCAUAUGUCCUCUGGUGUGUGUUUCACUGUAAGUUCUGAAGGUCCUACUGAGGCUGUAGUUAGUCCGAACGUAGCGCAGUGUGAAGUCAAUGUCUCUACAAAAACACUGCCAUCGAUACACCCUGCAGGGGGACUUCAGUUGUAGCCUUUCCAGUCUUCUGCAAUGGAAUAUUACUCAACCACCACAUCUCAUUUCACAACAAAAACAUGUGAUGGAGUAGUGUUUCAGCUUUGCGGUACAGCAAAGUAAACCACAAUCAGCUGAGUGAAGGCUGUGUGGAGGGAGGUAAACAGAUAAUAUAUUGUCUGGAUGCUGGGGAGACAAGCCAUGUAGAGACUUGAAUGUAAGCAGAAGUCAAUUUUAUAAUUAACUCAAAACCUGACGGGAAGCAUGUGCGAGGACUCCAGGUCAGGAGUGAAGUGCCCACUCGUUGUGUGUUCUGA